CUAGGAUUUGAAUUGUGUCCUUCUGGCUCCAAAGCCUGUGCUCUUUCCCUCUUUGGUGUUUAGAGACCACAGUACCAUUAGCAUCUCUGUAAUCUUCAUCAGUCCCCUCAGUCUCAGAGUUGAAGGGAAACAGAAAAUAUUCAGGGGUCCCUUGUGAGCCUGGAGGAAUUGUUCAGAUGUCAGGAAGGUGGAGAGCUAGUGUGUGCUGUUAUGCAUCGAGCCACCUGUCUAGGGAUUGCGUGCUGGACGGCAUCCUCAGCACAGAGAAGGAAACCUGCCUAGGGCCUCUGCUGCAGAAAGAGCCAGACCUCCAGGUGUCUUCUCAGGAUAGAGAAAUCCAAGCUUCCUCAGCAGGGAGAGAGACUACAGUAGUUCAGAAUUGUUUCAGCCACUUGUGAUCUGAACAUCUCCACAACCUUUUCACUUCCAUCCAAAUCCACUUACUGUGCUUUUUUCCAUCCCUCUCAUUUUAUAGCCAUACAAGCAUGGGUACCCAAAGUAAAGAAUUGCUAGAAUACUUCCCACACAUUUGAGAGUCUGGUGGAGGCUGUUGUGCCUUUGCUUAGCUUUGCCUGGCUUAGCCUCUACUGUUUGACUCCUGCCCAGAUACACUUAACUAGAAUAUUCUUUCAGCAGGAAAGCAGCAGCACCACAUGAUCCAGGUCAAGCAUUGUGGACUCAGCCUUGAAUAUUGAUCCUAUUUUACAUCUGCCUCAUCAUUGUGAGGACAUUUCACCCCCACCCUCUGGAGAGUGAUGCUGGUGGAGUAUAACUAGCAGGAAAACUAGGGUGGUAAAAUGGCCACGCCAUCUGCGAUGGAGGGAAAUCACAAUGAAACUGAACACUCAAGUAGAAAACGGUGUCCGCCCACAGGAACUGCUGCCACCAACUGCUGCAAUAAAUAAUUCAGUAUUCAAUAUACUAGUCAAUGGAGCAACGCAAGACUGGAAAGAGAAACAGAAGAAAGAAAAUUUCCUAUACCUAAUACAAGUUGAAACAAGUUUCACUCCUCUGCAAUUUCCAGUACCCUCAAUGCCACCAGAACUGCUGCUCUGAAUUAGUCUCCCACCUUACCUCCCUUCCUCCAAAC
rnacentral:lncRNA from 1 species